rnacentral:tRNA from 1 species
GCUGGCGGGAGGUAGGCAUCUCGGGGAGUUUCAUGAACUCUCAUUAAUUCGGUUCGAAUCCGGAGCCCAGCA